rnacentral:rRNA from 1 species
GAGUUUGAUCCUGGCUCAGGAUGAACGCUGGCGGCGUGCCUAAUACAUGCAAGUCGAGCGAACAGACGAGGAGCUUGCUCCUCUGACGUUAGCGGCGGACGGGUGAGUAACACGUGGAUAACCUACCUAUAAGACUGGGAUAACUUCGGGAAACCGGAGCUAAUACCGAAUAAUAUAUUGAACCGCAUGGUUCAAUAGUGAAAAACGGUUUUGCUGUCACUUAUAGAUGGAUCCGCGCCGCAUUAGCUAGUUGGUAGGGUAACGGCUUACCAAGGCGACGAUGCGUAGCCGACCUGAGAGGGUGAUCGGCCACACUGGAACUGAGACACGGUCCAGACUCCUACGGGAGGCAGCAGUAGGGAAUCUUCCGCAAUGGGCGAAAGCCUGACGGAGCAACGCCGCGUGAGUGAUGAAGGUCUUCGGAUCGUAAAGCUCUGUUAUUAGGGAAGAACAAAUGUGUAAGUAACUAUGCACGUCUUGACGGUACCUAAUCAGAAAGCCACGGCUAACUACGUGCCAG